rnacentral:rRNA from 1 species
GUAAUAGUUAUGUUCUUGAAACCCAAAGAAUUUGGCGGUAUUUUAGUCCUUUCAGAGGAAUCUGUCCCAUAAUCGAUAUUCCACGAUAAUGAUUUACUUGCUCUUGUUUUCAGUUUGUAUACCUCCGUCAUCAGUAAAUCUUUUUAGAGUUUUUAAUUUUCUUAUCACAUUUAUUGUUUUAUGUCAGGUCAAGGUGCAACUUAUGGGCAAGGGGAGAUGGAUUACAAUAAAUAUAUUUAGACGGAUUAAAUUAUGUAUUUUUUUUAUGAAGGUGGAUUUGAUGGUAAUUUCAAUUAUUUGUUGGAAUGACUAUAGGCUCUAAAGUAUGCACACAUCGCCCG